AGAGUUUGAUCCUGGCUCAGGAUGAACGCUGGCGGCGUGCCUAACACAUGCAAGUCGAACGGAGUCGUUUUGGAAAAUCCUUCGGGAUUGGAAUUCUCGACUUAGUGGCGGACGGGUGAGUAACGCGUGAGCAAUCUGCCUUUAAGAGGGGGAUAACAGUCGGAAACGGCUGCUAAUACCGCAUAAAGCAUCAAAUUCGCAUGUUUUUGAUGCCAAAGGAGCAAUCCGCUUUUAGAUGAGCUCGCGUCUGAUUAGCUGGUUGGCGGGGUAACGGCCCACCAAGGCGACGAUCAGUAGCCGGACUGAGAGGUUGAACGGCCACAUUGGGACUGAGACACGGCCCAGACUCCUACGGGAGGCAGCAGUGGGGAAUAUUGCGCAAUGGGGGAAACCCUGACGCAGCAACGCCGCGUGAUUGAAGAAGGCCUUCGGGUUGUAAAGAUCUUUAAUCAGGGACGAAAUAAAUGACGGUACCUGAAGAAUAAGCUCCGGCUAACUACGUGCCAGCAGCCGCGGU
rnacentral:rRNA from 1 species